rnacentral:sRNA from 1 species
GAAGUCUUUGACCAUAGGGUCAACCAAUUUCAGGCAUCCAGUGGAAAUUAUUAUUUCAUCCCAUACAUCGUGACACCGUGCGCUGAUUAUUUUUGCUGCGAGAGUGAUGCCCAGAGACGAGCCUCCGAGUACAUGCAGCCCAACUGGGACAACAUCCUGGGCCCGCUGUGCAUGCCUUUGGUGGACAGGUUCAUUAGCCUCCUUAAGGACAUCCACGUGACCUCAUGUGUUUAUUACAAAGAAACCUUGUUAAAUGACAUCCGGAAAGCCAGAGAGAAAUACCAAGGUGAGGAACUGGCGAAGGAGCUAGCUCGGAUCAAGCUCCGCAUGGAUAAUACUGAGGUUCUGACCUCAGACAUCAUCAUUAACUUACUCCUGUCCUACCGUGAUAUCCAGGACUAUGAUGCGAUGGUGAAGCUGGUGGAAACACUGGAGAUGCUGCCUACGUGUGAUUUGGCCGAUCAGCAUAACAUUAAAUUCCACUAUGCGUUUGCACUGAAUAGGAGAAACAGCACAGGUGACCGUGAGAAGGCUCUGCAGAUCAUGCUCCAGGUUCUGCAGAGCUGUGAUCACCCGGGCCCCGACAUGUUCUGCCUGUGUGGGAGGAUCUACAAGGACAUCUUCUUGGAUUCAGACUGCAAAGAUGACACCAGCCGCGACAGCGCCAUUGAGUGGUAUCGCAAAGGGUUUGAACUCCAGUCAUCUCUCUAUUCGGGAAUUAAUCUUGCAGUUUUGCUGAUUGUUGCUGGACAACAAUUUGAAACUUCCUUGGAACUAAGGAAAAUAGGUGUCCGGCUGAACAGUUUGUUGGGAAGAAAAGGGAGCUUGGAGAAAAUGAAGAAUUACUGGGAUGUGGGUCAGUUCUUCAGCGUCAGCAUGCUGGCCAAUGAUGUCGGGAAAGCCGUCCAGGCAGCAGAGAGGUUGUUCAAACUGAAACCUCCAGUCUGGUACCUGCGAUCAUUAGUUCAGAACUUGUUACUAAUUCGGCGCUUCAAGAAACCCAUUAUUGAACACUCACCCAGGCAAGAGCGGCUGAACUUCUGGUUAGAUAUAAUUUUUGAGGCAACAAAUGAAGUCACGAAUGGACUCAGAUUUCCAUUAUGAAAUAUUUCAAACCUACUGAAAGGUACAAAAAAAUAAUGGAGCAGACAACCGCGUAAUCUCUAACCAGGUUCUGGUCAUAGAGCCAACCAAAGUGUACCAGCCUUCUUAUGUUUCCAUAAACAAUGAAGCUGAGGAGAGAACAGUUUCUUUAUGGCAUGUCUCACCCACAGAAAUGAAACAGAUGCACGAAUGGAAUUUUACAGCCUCUUCCAUAAAGGGAAUAAGGCUGGAGUACAGUGGCAAGAUCUCGGCUCACUGCAACCUCUGCCUCCCAGGUUCAAGCGAUUCUCCUGCCUCAGCCUCCAGAGUAGCUGGGACUACAGCCUAUCAAAGUUUGAUGAAAGGUGUUGUUUUCUUUAUGUCCAUGAUAAUUCUGAUGACUUUCAAAUCUACUUUUCCACCGAAGAGCAGUGCAGUAGAUUUUUCUCUUUGGUCAAAGAGAUGAUAACCAAUACAGCAGGCAGUACAGUGGAGCUGGAGGGAGAGACCGAUGGAGACACCUUGGAGUAUGAGUAUGACCAUGAUGCAAAUGGUGAGAGAGUUGUCUUGGGGAAAGGCACGUAUGGGAUUGUGUAUGCUGGCCGAGAUCUGAGCAAUCAAGUGCGAAUAGCCAUCAAAGAAAUCCCGGAGAGAGAUAGCAGGUAUUCUCAGCCUCUGCACGAGGAGAUAGCCCUGCACAAGUACCUUAAGCACCGCAAUAUCGUUCAGUACCUGGGCUCUGUUUCAGAGAACGGCUACAUUAAGAUAUUUAUGGAGCAGGUGCCUGGAGGAAGCCUUUCUGCUCUUCUGCGAUCCAAAUGGGGGCCGAUGAAGGAACCGACAAUCAAGUUUUACACCAAACAGAUCCUGGAGGGCCUUAAGUAUCUUCAUGAAAACCAGAUCGUGCACAGAGACAUAAAGGGCGAUAAUGUUCUGGUGAACACCUACAGCGGAGUGGUGAAAAUCUCCGAUUUUGGAACCUCGAAACGUCUUGCGGGUGUGAACCCCUGCACAGAGACUUUCACUGGCACCCUGCAGUACAUGGCACCUGAGAUAAUUGACCAAGGGCCUCGCGGAUAUGGUGCCCCAGCCGAUAUCUGGUCCCUGGGCUGCACCAUCAUUGAGAUGGCCACCAGCAAGCCUCCGUUCCAUGAGCUUGGUGAGCCGCAGGCAGCCAUGUUCAAAGUGGGCAUGUUUAAGAUCCACCCUGAGAUUCCAGAAGCCCUUUCAGCUGAAGCCCGAGCCUUCAUUUUAUCCUGUUUCGAGCCUGACCCCCACAAACGUGCCACCACUGCUGAGCUACUGAGAGAGGGUUUCUUAAGGCAGGUGAAGAAGGGCAAGAAGAACCGAAUUGCCUUCAAGCCCUCAGAAGGUCCCCGCGGUGUCGUCCUGGCCCUGCCCACACAGGGGGAGCCCAUGGCCACCAGCAGUAGCGAGCACGGCUCUGUCUCCCCAGACUCCGACGCCCAGCCUGACGCACUCUUUGAGAGGACCCGGGCGCCCAGGCACCACCUUGGCCACCUCCUCAGUGUUCCAGACGAGAGCUCAGCCUUGGAAGACCGGGGCUUGGCCUCGUCCCCGGAGGACAGGGACCAGGGCCUCUUCCUGCUACGCAAGGACAGUGAGCGCCGUGCCAUCCUGUACAAAAUCCUCUGGGAGGAGCAGAACCAGGUGGCUUCCAACCUGCAGGAGUGUGUGGCCCAGAGUUCCGAAGAGUUGCAUCUCUCAGUUGGACACAUCAAGCAAAUCAUUGGGAUCCUGAGGGACUUCAUCCGCUCCCCAGAGCACCGGGUGAUGGCGACCACAAUAUCAAAGCUCAAGGUGGACCUGGACUUUGACAGCUCGUCCAUCAGUCAGAUUCACCUGGUGCUGUUCGGAUUUCAGGAUGCCGUAAAUAAAAUUUUGAGGAACCACUUAAUUAGGCCCCACUGGAUGUUCGCGAUGGACAACAUCAUCCGCCGAGCGGUGCAGGCCGCGGUCACCAUUCUCAUCCCAGAGCUCCGAGCCCACUUUGAGCCUACCUGUGAGACUGAAGGGGUAGAUAAGGACAUGGAUGAAGUGGAAGAGGGCUAUCCCCCAGCCACCGGACCUGGCCAGGAGGCCCAGCCCCACCAGCAGCACCUGAGCCUCCAGCUGGGUGAGCUCAGACAGGAGACCAACAGACUUUUGGAACACCUAGUUGAAAAAGAGAGAGAGUACCAGAAUCUUCUGCGGCAAACUCUAGAACAGAAAACUCAAGAAUUGUAUCACCUUCAGUUAAAAUUAAAAUCGAAUUGUAUUACAGAGAACCCAGCAGGCCCCUACGGGCAGAGAACAGAUAAAGAGCUUAUAGACUGGUUGCGGCUGCAAGGAGCUGAUGCAAAGACAAUUGAAAAGGUAAAUUUACAACAAAGAAAUUCUUAUGCUGUUGUUACACAGCUGCUCAGCUCUUAAGGAUCUGAUCUUUGUUUCAGAUUGUUGAAGAGGGUUAUACACUUUCGGAUAUUCUUAAUGAGAUCACUAAGGAAGAUCUAAGAUACCUUCGACUACGGGGUGGUCUCCUCUGCAGACUCUGGAGUGCGGUCUCCCAGUACAGAAGCGCUCAGGAGGCCUCAGAAACCAAAGACAAGGCUUGAUACCAAUCAGCUAAGCUGUGGCAGAGUGUCCCACCACGCUACAUGUUUUGUUAAAGCUUCUGUUAGUGUAUACACGAAUUCCGCUGUGUUUACAUAUUUAAAAAUGCCAUUGUUCAAUUAAUAGUUUAAGAACUUGUUUUAAAUACUGUCCUGAGUUUCUUUUGAAACCUGUUAUUUACAAACAUAGAACUGUGUGUAUUGUGAAAACAGUGAGCCUUGGUUUUGACCUCCCGGAAUAUUAGGAAAUUCACCUGUAGUCCCAGCUACGCAGGAGGCUGAGGUGGGAGGAUUGCUUGAGCCCAGGAGGUGUGGAGGCUGCAGUGAGCCAUGAUCACACCACUGCACUCCAGCCUGGGCAACAGAGCCCGACCCUGUCUCAAAAAAAACACCCUUCAGCACUUGCUGGAAUGGUGAAACAAGGGGUAUUUAACAAACAAACAAACAUGGAAGCUGGGACACUGCCUCAGAACUGGUAUGGUACUUAAAUUUGAGAAACACAAAAUUGAUACGAAUGUGCCUUGUAGUUAACGUUUGAUAUGAACAGAAAAUAGCUUCAUAUUUAUACUGAAUGUGUAAGUAGAGAAAACUAAGUUAUGUGGCCUUUGAAAUGAUUGAUUACAUUGAUUACAUUGAAAUGAUUACAAAAGUCUUAUUUUAAAAUGGAACUGUCCUCUUGCCUGAUAAUAAAUAUUGUAUCUUGUAGAG